GAGCAGAACUGCUCAUGCGCGGAAGGGGGCGCGCGGCUGCGCACUUGCGAACCACGGGCAGGGAUCGCCGGGGUGUGGCCUGUUUUCAUGGCGACCAGGACGCUCUGCAUCCCCCGUUGCAGGCUGAGCCGAGGGAGGCUGCGUAUGCCCGCCCCUCUGGCUGUUGGAGCCGCACCUCUUCCUCUUCCGGUCCCCGUAGCGAUUCGUUUUCUUUGCAAGAGACGAAGCCGGACUGCUCAUCAUUCCAGACAUCUUCAGCUGCUACACCCAGAACAAGCAUUCGAAAUAUGAAUAGGAUGGUGAGCCAGAUCUUUCCAAUCGUGGUGGAGUGGAUGUGAACUUCCUCCAGAGUAUCUCCAAGGAGAUUCCAGUCCCCCAUGUUUAUUUAGUCAGCCAUCUUAGCUCUGAUCCCCAUCAAAUAAGAAGCAGUUAAAUUCUUCCAUUCUGAAGGGAGCACUAUUUCUUAAAGCAAACCUAUGGUGAAAAUAUAACAAUAUGUCACUUCUA